rnacentral:rRNA from 1 species
AGACGGAGGGCGCAAGCGUUGUUCGGAAUUACUGGGCGUAAAGGGCAGGUAGGUGGUCUGUUAAGUCUUCUGUGAAAAUCCGGGGCUCAACCCCGCGAAAUGCAGGUGAAACUGGCAGACUCGAGACCGGUAGAGGCUAGCGGAAUUCCUGGUGUAGCGGUGGAAUGCGUAGAUAUCAGGAAGAACACCUGUGGCGAAGGCGGCUAGCUGGGCCGGUUCUGACACUAAACUGCGAAAGCGUGGGGAGCAAACCGGAUUAGAAACCCGAGUAGUCC